AUUGAACGCUGGCGGCAUGCUUUACAUAUGCAAGUCGAACGGUAACAGGCCGCAAGGUGCUGACGAGUGGCGAACGGGUGAGUAAUGCAUCGGAACGUGCCCAGUCGUGGGGGAUAACGCAGCGAAAGCUGCGCUAAUACCGCAUACGAUCUAUGGAUGAAAGCGGGGGACCGUAAGGCCUCGCGCGAUUGGAGCGGCCGAUGUCAGAUUAGGUAGUUGGUGGGGUAAAGGCUCACCAAGCCAACGAUCUGUAGCUGGUCUGAGAGGACGACCAGCCACACUGGGACUGAGACACGGCCCAGACUCCUACGGGAGGCAGCAGUGGGGAAUUUUGGACAAUGGGCGCAAGCCUGAUCCAGCGAUGCCGCGUGCAGGAAGAAGGCCUUCGGGUUGUAAACUGCUUUUGUACGGAACGAAACGGUCCGGGUUAAUACCCUGGGCUAAUGACGGUACCGUAAGAAUAAGCACCGGCUAACUACGUGCCAGCAGCCGCGGUAAUAC
rnacentral:rRNA from 1 species